AAUAUUAAAUUGCAAACGUCGGGUGUUUAGAAAUUUCCCAGAAAUUCAAAGCUCUUUCAACGGCCUUAGACAUAACUGAAAGCUAAGGGAGCCAAUUCUCAAGAUCUAAAUUACAGAAUUGAGAAAUGUUAAAUUUACCACAUAUUGCAAUUCUUGGAGCAGGAAUCUUCGUAAGAACACAGUACAUUCCAAGAUUAGCCGAGAUCUCCGAUCUCUUCGUCCUUAAGUAUAUCUGGAGCCGCACUGAGGAAUCAGCACAAGGAGCAGUGGAGAUAGCGCGCAAGCAUUUUCCAGGAGUAGAAUGCAAGUGGGGAGAUAAAGGUCUUGAUGAGAUUAUUGCAGAUGAUUCCAUUCUUGGCGUUGCUGUUGUUCUUGCUGCCCAAACUCAGGUUAAUAUGUCACUUAAGCUACUAAAGGCGGGGAAGCAUGUUCUUCAAGAGAAACCAGCAGCUGCUUUUGUAAGUGAAAUUGAAACUGCACUGUCAAGUUACAACUCUAUCUGUGCCCAUUCCCCUGGUCGACCAAUUUGGGCUGUGGCGGAGAAUUAUAGAUUUGAACCUGCUUUUGUAGAGUCUAAGAAACUAUUGGCUGAAAUUGGGGACAUGAUGUCAAUUCAAGUUAUUGUUGAAGGAUCAAUGAAUAGUUCAAACCCUUAUUUCUCUAGUUCAUGGAGGCGCGACUUUGCUGGGGGUUUUAUUCUAGAUAUGGGAGUGCAUUUCAUUGCAGGCUUAAGAAUGCUUGUUGGAUGUGAAGUGAUUUCAGUGUCAGCUAUGACAUCUCAUGUAGACAAAACUUUACCCCCUCCUGAUAACAUAUCCUCAGUUUUUCAAUUGGAGAACGGAUGUUCUGGAAUUUUUGUAAUGGUCGUAUCCUCAAGAUCACCAAAGAUAUGCUGGCGAGUUGUUGGCUUAAAGGGAACACUGCAAAUUGAGCGGGGAAACCUUAAUGGACAACAUGGUUAUAUGGUAUUGCUUUAUGGUGCUGAUGGGCAAAGCAAAAGCUCUUUCUACCCAUUCAGUGGAGUGACAGAAGAAUUGAAAACUUUCAUACACGACAUUUCGCAAGCCAAACUUAAGAAGGGGAGCAGCUAUGAAACAGAUCCCCGCCUUAGUUUUGAGGAAGGUGCCAGAGAUGUUGCUAUUCUUGACGCAAUGCUUGAAUCCGGAACCAAAAAUGGGAGCCUAGUUCAGGUGAAAAAAAUCUAGCGUAAGGACAUGAAAAGUUAAGUUUUUUUUCCCUUUUAUUUUUCUCUCUUAUCAUGAGAAAUUAUAAUUUAGAAGAUCAUCAGCUCGUUUUUAUCCUUUCUAUCUAUUCUUCUUCUAUACUUGAUGUUUGAGGAGAGGAUAAUUUUAAGAAAGUGAUUGGUGAAUAUUAAAUAAAUAAGAAAAAGAAGAGUGUUUUAAGUUUUUUUUUUAAAUGAAAAUAGAUUAAAAUUGAUAAUGUUUUCAUUUCAUUAACUUUCUCUAGGAGGUUAAAAUAACCAAUGGUGGAGAAACAAAGGAUUACUAUAGGAACUUGAUAAAGAUGGUGUUUUAAAGAGAAAAAACAUAUAGUUUUAAUUGUUUUAUUAACAUAUAUUGAACGAUAAUUUCAAUAGGUUAUGAGGUUGCUUUCUAGAGACAAUGACAUGGUAAUAAAAUUGUGGCAUACGGGACCAUGUCCAUGACCAAACAGGCAUUGCAGACUUGCAGUAUUAAAUUUUGACUUGGAAAAUUUAUUAUUGGUAUUCCACAAAUGCACAAGUGCAAGUUGCUAUAUAUGUGAAGAUUUCUAUUGGUUGCAAUAAAUUAUAUAUACUCAUAAAUUUUAUUAUUCAUAUAAUUAUCUAUAUAUUUAUAUAUACAGAUUUUUAUAUAAAGGAUUAAAAUUAUGUCUAGAAUUUUAGUUAGAUUAAGUGCAAUGUAAAGUCUGUUUGAAGAACUUGUCGAAUUCUCAUCACGGGAAGUACCACAACCAUGGUGAAGAAAGAAACUUUAUUCAUCUAUCAUCUCAAGCAUGGCAUAAAGCCGUGAUGAAGUGAAGGUCACCAUGGCCAUGGUAGAAACCGUGAUGAGAACAAGACCACCAUGGGUGUGGUGCAACCUGUGGUGAGGGAUGAUAAAGUUAUUUCGUUGUGCGGAGUUCAAUCUCUUAUAAACAUCCAUACUUUGUAGCUUUAAGAUUUAAUUAAGAGUACACGAGGAAGAAGAAUUAUACUUUGGUAUUUUUUUAUUGAGAUUAUAAAUCAAUUUGGCUGAUUAAUAUUUUUCAAUAUUAGAGUGAAUCUAUAUCACUUUCCUGUAAUCUAGUUUGAUAUUUUAAUGAACUACUCAUUUCUCUAUCCAUGGAUGUAGAUAAUUUGCUGAAACACAAAAAUCUUUUAAUUUUUUUUAUUAAUUUUGCUAUGUUAUCAUAUAUUUAUACUUGUUUAAUUAAUUAUUGCUUGAUUCCAUUGCGUUUAAUUUCACAACAUAAAAAAUUAUGCUGUUGCGAGAUAACGAUUAAAACAUUUUGUUGUUAAUUUUUCUGAUUAUGUUUUGCUGUAAAUAAUUUAUCCAUGCAAUAUAUAGUUGGACUGUAGGGCUGUGGGAGAUGAAAAGCUAUAUAAUCCAUAGAAAAAAGUAGGUAAAGUAGAGUAACUGAUUCAAAACCAACUGCACCUAACGCCAAUUCUCUCCCAUUAUAUUUCUCAACUGCUGAAUGGAAGACGUUUCAUUUACUACAUGUUAUUGUCAAAAUAAUCAACCAAGUCUUUACAUUUAUGAUUUUUGGACGCCAGAAGUUAGCUGUUCUUUUCCUGAUUUCAAUAAACUUGGUCCCAUUUUCAUAUAGAAAAUGAAGAUAAAUCUUCAAUGUUAGAGCAUGGAUCUAAGUUUUAUAAAAUAAACACUUCGUAACAAAAAUAAAGUUUGAUAUUAUACUUAUCAAAAUAAUUUUAAUUUUAUUAUACUAUUAAUAUAUUUGAAAUACUUUCUAAUAAAAAUCAGGGGAUUAAGAUGAUUUUUCUCAAGUUAGCAGGCAAUUAGUAUAUUACGGCUAAUUUUGUGGGAUUCUAAUAAUCAUAUAUGACUAUUGACUACUUAAAAAUACAGAAAGACCCCAAAAAAGCAAACUGUAACAACAAAAAACCAUCAAAUCUCAUGAGAAAACCAAGAAGCUUUAUUACAACUAUUCUCACAAUCUGCAAUCCCAUACCCAAAGUCCAAGAAGUAAAAAGACAACAAUACCAAUGUCCUAAACCGACCGUGGUCUUCGCACGUGUGCUUCAGUUCCCCAAGAAAUGAAGUGACUUUUAAAUUUAAUGAUACUCGAAAGAAGUAAGAAAAAGAAACAGUAAAACAAAGAAUGAAAGUUGGUAGUGAGUAGGUUCUUACAGUUACAGUAAUAUAUUCAGAAGAUUCAGUCUUUAUUACAUCUCACUCCACAUGUUUUUUCUAUAACUAGUUCCCUCUCUCUCUUUCAAAUUUCAAUUCCAUUUCUUGCUCACAUUGUCCUUUUUCUUAUGAAAAUUUCAACAACUUGCCAUUAUUUUCACUAACUUUCUACAUUGAAAUUCUGCUUAAUAUCUGGUCAACUUGCUCUGUUACUUUGUUCUAAAGAUAUUCCUUGGAGGUUUUCUAAUCCUUAAUUUGGUUUUGGUUUUAGCCACUGAUUGUACUGAAGAUCUGAAACUUCCAAGAAAUACCAUUUAUGUCCAUUAUCAAGUUUGAUUUCUUAAUUUAUCCAAUUUGUCUUAAAUUCAAA